rnacentral:lncRNA from 1 species
UUCACCUUGUCUGCUCGGGAUUCAUGUAUGGGAUUCAUGUACAGGGAAAAAUGUAUGUUAUUUAUAUUUGAGUAGAAUAAGAUUAAUGAAUCAAUCAAUGUACAUAGAUAUGGAAACAAACAAUUUAAUGAAUCAACAUGCAAUAGAGCAUGCUGGGAAAUAUGAUAAUGAUGGGCAUGGUUUUUGCUGAACACUGGCUUUAAACACCAACACUGGGGUUAAUUUACACCAAUGAGUGUUAAUUUAACACUUACAGAGUUCAUUUAAUAACACCUGAAUGAACACUAGAAAUGUUACACUGAAAAAUCAACACCAGGUAACACUGAACAAUUUGCUGUGUACAAGUAAAACAUUAACACGAUUCAUUGAAAAAUAAACCAGACUUUGAACGAAAGUUUAAAAUAAUUUAAUUGCAAAGAUCACAGCUAAGAUAAAAUAUACUGAACACAACAUAAAUAUAAAGCCCAACAUGCAACAUUUUCAAAGAUUUUACUGAGUUACAGUUCAUAUAAGGAAAUCAGUCAAUUGAAAUAGAUUAAUUAGGCCCUAAUCUAUGGAUUCCAUGACUAGGAAUACAGAUAUGCAUCUGUUGGUCACAGAUACCUUUUAAAAAAGGUAUGCGUAUGGAUUGGAAACCAGUCAGUAUCUGGUGUGGGCAUCAUUUGCCUCACACAUCUCCUUCGCAUAGAGUUUAUCUGGCUAUUGAUUGUGGUCUGUGGAAUGUUGUUGAUCCUGAGCAUCCCAAACUUGCUCAAUGGGUUACAUGUCUGGUGAGUAUGCAGGCCAUAGAGAUUUGCAGAUUUCAGGAAUUGUGUACAGCUCCGUGCGCAUUAUCAUGCUGAAACAUGAGGUGAUGGUGGCAGAUGAAUGGCACGACAAUGGGCCUCAGGAUCUCAUCACGGUAUCUCUGUGCAUACAAAUUUCCAUCAAUGAAAUACAAUUGUGUUCGUUGUCCGUAGCUUAUGCCUGCCCAUACCAUAACCCCACCGCCACCAUGGGACAUUCUGUUCAAAACGUUGACAUGAGCAAACCACUCACCCACAUGAUGCCAUACACGCUGUCUGUCAUUUGCCCUGUACAGUUGAAACCAGGAUCCAUCCGGGAAGAGCACACUUCUCCAGCGUGCCGGUAGCCAUCGUAGGUGAGUAUUUUCCACCUGAGGAGGACGACGAGACCCUGGGGAGAACGGCAAGCACGCAGAUGAGCAUCCCCGAGACGGUUUCUGUGCAGACAGUUUGUGCAGAUAUACUUUUGUUGUGCAAAUCCACAGUUUCAUUAGCUGUGGCUGAUCUCAGACGAUCCCGAAGGUGAAGAAGCCAGAUGUGGAGGUCCUGGGCUGGCGUGGUUACACGUGGCCUGCGGUUGAGAGGCCAGUUGGAUGUACUGUCAUAUUCUCAAAAACAACGUUGGAGAAUGCUUAUGGUGGAGAAACGAACAUUCAAUUCUCUGGCAACAUCUCUGGUGGACAUUCCUGCAGUCAAAAUGACAAUUGCUCGCUCCCUCAAAACACGAGACAUCUGUGGCAUUGUGUUGUGUGACAAAUCUGCACAUUUUAGAGUGGCCUUUUAUUGUCCCCAGCACAACAUGCAUCUGUGUAAUGAUCAUGCUUUCUUGAUAUGCCACACCUGUCUGGUGUAUGGAUUAUCUUGGCAAAGGAGAAAUGCUCACUUGCAGGGAUGUAAACAAAACAUACCAUAGCCCCAACGCCGCCAUGGGGCACUCUGUUCACAAUGUCGACAUCAGCAAACCGCUCGCCCACAUGUCGCCAUAGAGGUGGUCUGCGGUUGUGAGGCAGAUUUCUGGGAUCUUUUAUUUCAGCUCAUGAAACAUGGGACCAAAACUUUACAUGUUGCGUUUAUAUUUUUGUUCAGUAUAAUAAACCAUACAAUCAUAUAACCAUGUCAGAUUAGUAAAACAAUUAUAAUACUAGUACUGCAAUUAGUCUCCUUUUGUAGGUAUUCACAGUGUCAAAUAAUUUAUUCACGGAAUUUAGAUUCUUUGAGGAGGAUCCUGCUCCUCAGCUGUAAAUCACUCCAUAUCAAAUGCUGUUUCAGCGGAAGUCUCCUCCUCGCAUUUCAAAUCCCCUCUCUGCCUCAGACUGACCUUAAGUGUAAUGUUAAUAGUGCCGCAGCCCUCUGCAGACACCUCAGUACAGACACGGACAGGGCUAUAUACCGAUUCUUUAAUGAUUUUCAUACAUGCGGAUUGCAGCUGAACGAGCAACCUCGAUGAUAAGUCGCUUGUUUCUUUCCCUUCAUCGUUCUUCUUGUUUUUCUCAGUCGUCUCUUUAGCACUGGGGCUAGAUUCAAGUUCUUCUGACUCUAUAGCAGCUACAUCUUCAAGAACAUCUGCAAUUUCUUCCAGCUCUUCUAGUUCUGCAGCGAUUGCUGAGUAUAUAGCAGCUUCAUUUUCAAGAACAUCUGCAAUUUCUUCCAGCUCUUCAGCGAUUGCUGAGUCUACAGCAGCUUCAUUUUCAAGAACAUCUGCAAUUUCUUCCAGCUCUUCUAGUUCUGCAGCGAUUGCUGAGUAUAUAGCAGCUUCAUUUUCAAGUUCAUCUGCAAUUUCCUCCAGCUCUUCUUUGGGUACGGGGCUCUUCUCCACAGUUGUAUCCUCUGUGGGUUCUUCACCAAAGACCGGUUCUGUUGUCUCCUCUUCAGGUGGGCUGACACUUUCCUCCGUAGGCUGCUCUUCAGAUCUUUCAGUGGUGAUUUGAAUGAUGUCUGCCGUAAGAAAAUCCAGCAGUGAUGAAAGUUCAGGCUCUGCCUCCGGAAAUGAGAAUCUGACUGCCAGUUGCUUUGGAAACAAAUGUGCAGCCAUCAAGACUUCACUUUUCUC